AGAGUUCAGUCCUUGCUUUGGAUGAUUCCGCACUGGACAUUGAUGAAGUUCAAAAUCUGAUAAAAUUAUGUCCAACGAAAGAAGAAAUGGAAGUUCUCAAGUUCAUCAAAUCGUCCACCUUCUUCUUCAUCCCCUUCUGUGAUUCCAGUGCUCAAGUUGUGGAGGCGAACAAAGGAAGCUAAUUUAUGGGAUUUGGAGAGAAAAUAGUGAACCCCAUUAAUGGAGCCAUCGUGCUUUCCAUCACUAUUGUCCCACUCGUUGUUGAAAUGGCUCCCCACAGCUCAACCCCUGCAACCGCCGAUAUGCGUCGUCGUCGCCUCGGCUCGGCUCGGCUCCUCCACCUCCACCGGAUUCGACGAUGGCGGCACCAGAAGUAACGUCCUUAAGUUCUACAAUGUCUUCAGGUUCAAAAGAAAAAUUAGUUAGUUCUAUCUUCUCAUUGUUGAUAAAUGUGUGUAUAUAUAUAUAUAUAUAUAUGUAUAUGAUACAUACAUUUAUAUAUACAUACAAAGAACUCUUGAAUUUCUUUUGAUAGUGUUGACAGUGUACAAUGAGGAGAUAGAACUCACAGAGAAAUUUUCUCUGAAUCUAGAGAAAUGUGCUGACAGAGAAAUU